ensembl:snRNA
UUAUGGCAUGAAAGGAAAGAAGGCCAUUAUUCCUUUUGAUUAGGGUGGAAAAGGUCUUCUUGGCCUUUACAAUACAUAUGCAAUUAAGAUUUUGCUAUCUAUUCUGUAACUUCCCACAAUGUCAACACAAACACCUGACUAUUUUU